GGCUUGCUCACAAUAUGUACUUUAUGACUUCCUACACAUCACUUAAGAUUAGGUCUAGGAAUUUUACUUUUCUCACACGCUCUUGAAGAAUCAAUUGAGCACGUAAUCAUUUAUCCUAGCCAAUUACUUAUCUCAUGCUUUCCAUUCCCAUAAAGGAUGUUAGGAAGUAUGUUUGAGUAACUUAAGUUCCUAAUUGUUGAGUAUCUGGCAUAAUUUUUCAAACUCCCCCAACUUUCAUGAUUAGAUCAUAUAACAUUUCUAUCCACAGAAUACUUUGUUUAUAUGAGAAGACUUUUACCACACUGCAGUUCAUCGCUCUCCAUGUAAAAUAUCCCUGUUUAUUUUGAAUCUGACAUGAGGAAGGGAGAGAGUAGACAGGGAAAAAUGGGAAAAUAAAUCUCAAUCACUUUGGCUGUGGAGACCUAACUAAGAGCCUGGAGGUGAACUUGGUUCAACUAAGAUCACAUAUGUGUUGUUACAUUUCCAAUCCAUUUCUGUUUUUUCUACUGUGACCCACAAAAUUUAUUCAAUUUGUACUUAAUUAAACUAAAAAGUUUCAGCACAGCAAAAGAAACAAUCAGCAGAGUAAACAGACAAUGCACAGAGUGGGAGAAAAUCUUCACAAUCUAUACAUCUGACAAAGGACUAAGAUCCAAAAUCUACAACGAACUCAAACAAAUUAGCAAGAAAAAAACAAACAGUCCCAUCAAAAAGUGGGCUAAGGACAUGAACAGACAAUUCUCAAAAGAAGCUAUACAAAUGUCUAACAAACAUAUGAAAAAAAAUGCUCAACAUCACAAAUGAUCAGGGAAAUGUAAACCAAAACCACAAUGCAAAACCAUCUUACUCCUGCAAGACUGGCCAUAAUCAAAAAGUCAAAAAAUAAUAGAUGUUGGCAGGGAUGCAGUGAAAAGGGAACACUUCUGCACUACUGGUGGGAAUGUAAACUAGUACAGCCACUAUGAAAAACAGUGUGGACACUCCUUAAAGAGCUAAAAGUAGAACUAUCAUUUGAUCCAGCAAUCCCACUGCUGGGUAUCUACCCGGAGGAAAAGAAGUCAUUGUACGAAAAAGAUACUUGCACAGACAUGCUUAUGGAAGCACAAUUCGCAAUUGCAAAAUCGGGGAACUAACCCAAAUGUCCAUCAAUCAAUGAGUAGAUAAAGAAAUUGUGGUAUGGAAUACUAUUCAGCCAUAAAAAUGAAACAAUGGCAUUUGCAGUAACCUGGGUGGAAUUGGAGACCAUUAUUCUAAGUGGAGUAACUCAGUAAUGGAAAACCAAACAUUGUAUGUUCUCACUCAUAAUUGGGAGCUAAGCUAUGAGAAUGCAAAGGUAUAUGAACGAUGCAAUGGAUUUUGGGGACUUGGGGGAAAGGGUGGGAAGUGAGUGAGGAAUAAAAGACUACAAAUUGAGUACAGUACAGUGUACACUGCUUAGGUGAUGGGUGCACCAAAAUCUCACAAAUUACCACUAAAAAACAUACUCAUGUAACCAAACACCACCCAUUCCCCAAAAACCUAUGGAAAUAAGAAAUAAAGUGAAUUAAUCAGUUUUCAAAAAUCAAUUCAAGAUGGAUUAAAGACUUAAACGUUAGACCUAAAACCAUAAAAACCCUAGAAGAAAACCUAGGCAUUACCAUUCAGGACAUAGGCAUGGGCAAGGACUUCAUGUCUAAAACACCAAAAGCAAUGGCAACAAAAGCCAAAAUUGAUGAAUGGGAUCUAAUUAAACUAAAGAGCUUCUGCACAGCAAAAGAAACUACCAUCAGAGUGAAGAGGCAACCCACAAAAUGGGAGAAAAUUUUUGCAACCUACUCAUCUGACAAAGGGCUAAUAUCCAGAAUCUACAAUGAACUCAAACAAAUUUACAAGAAAAAAACAAACAACCCCAUCAAAAAGUGGGCAAAGGACAUGAACAGACACUUCUCAAAAGAAGACAUUUCUGCAGCCAAAAAACACAUGAAAAAAUGCUCAUCAUCACUGGCCAUCAGAGAAAUGCAAAUCAAAACCACAAUGAGAUAUCAUCUCACACCAGUUAGAAUGGCGAUCAUUAAAAAGUCAGGAAACAACAGGUGCUGGAGAGGAUGUGGAGAAAUAGGAACACUUUUACACUGUCGGUGGGACUGUAAACUAGUUCAACCAUUGUGGAAGCCAGUGCAGCGAUUCCUUAGGGAUCUAGAACUAGAAAUACCAUUUGACCCAGCCAUCCCAUUACUGGGUAUAUACCCAAAGGACUAUAAAUCAUGCCGCUAUAAAGACACAUGCACAUGUAUGUUUAUUGUGGCGCUAUUCACAAUAGCAAAGACUUAGAACCAACCCAAAUGUCCAACAAUGAUAGACUGGAUUAAGAAAAUGUGGCACAUAUACACCAUGGAAUACUAUGCAGCCAUAAAAAAUGAUGAGUUCAUGUCCUUUGUGGUGACAUGGAUGAAAUUGGAAAUCAUCAUUCUCAGUAAACUAUCACAAAAACAAAAAACCAAACACCGCAUAUUCUCACUCAUAGGUGGGAAUUGAACAAUGAGAACACAUGGACACAGG
rnacentral:lncRNA from 1 species